AUCAACCAUCUUGUGGGAAUAGCCUCCACACUCUUCCUACAACCAAUGUAGUGGCCCUCACAAAGCACACAAGGAGACAAUUUGCAAGGCAACAACCCUAUCUACCAUUUAUGUGGUCCUUCAGCAAAACAACUCCAACAACUUGGCCAUGCAUUAUCCAUGAUGACACCAAACAACACAAAUGGUAAUAGCAAUGCUUUUGCAAAUGUUGCAAGUUUGUCCCAUUUUUCUAAUGUUUUAAUCAAUUUAGUUUUCACUAAGGAUUAGAUUUUGGAUUGCGAAGUAACAGACCAUAUCACUUUAGAUUCCACACUUUUUACCCAG
rnacentral:lncRNA from 1 species